rnacentral:rRNA from 1 species
GACGAACGCUGGCGGCGUGCUUAACACAUGCAAGUCGAACGGAAAGGCCCUGCUUUUGUGGGGUGCUCGAGUGGCGAACGGGUGAGUAACACGUGAGUAACCUGCCCUUGACUUUGGGAUAACUUCAGGAAACUGGGGCUAAUACCGGAUAGGAGCUCCUGCUGCAUGGUGGGGGUUGGAAAGUGUCGGCGGUUGGGGAUGGACUCGCGGCUUAUCAGCUUGUUGGUGGGGUAGUGGCUUACCAAGGCUUUGACGGGUAGCCGGCCUGAGAGGGUGACCGGCCACAUUGGGACUGAGAUACGGCCCAGACUCCUACGGGAGGCAGCAGUGGGGAAUAGUGCACAAUGGGCGGAAGCCUGAUGCAGCAACGCCGCGUGCGGGAUGACGGCCUUCGGGUUGUAAACCGCUUUCGCCUGUGACGAAGCGUGAGUGACGGUAAUGGGUAAAGAAGCACCGGCUAACUACGUG